AAUAAAUAGACAUUAGUAAAUAGCCAUUUUAUUUUAAAUCUUUUGUCCAUAACAAUAUUUUUAAAGUAAAACUGGUGUUUUUAAGAAGGGCAAAUUAGAACCUAAGCAAAUAAAGGCAGUGAAUGAAAGCUAGACUUGAUGGGGUUUUGCAUUUUGUCAUUUGCAGGCUAUGGAAAAGUGCAAAGAUGCCGGGCUGGUGAAGUCUUUGGGUGUUUCCAACUUUAACCGAAGGCAACUGGAAUUAAUCCUCAACAUACCAGGACUUAAAUACAAACCUGUCUCUAAUCAGGUAGGCAAUUGUGAU